rnacentral:rRNA from 1 species
GGGGCGCCUUGCGCGCACCGGCGGACGGCUCAGUAACACGUCGGUAACCUACCCUCGGGAGGGGGAUAACCCCGGGAAACUGGGGCUAAUCCCCCAUAGGCCUGAGGUACUGGAAGGUCCUCAGGCCGAAAGGGGCUCUGCCCGCCCGAGGAUGGGCCGGCGGCCGAUUAGGUAGUUGGUGGGGUAACGGCCCACCAAGCCGAAGAUCGGUACGGGCCAUGAGAGUGGGAGCCCGGAGAUGGACACUGAGACACGGGUCCAGGCCCUACGGGGCGCAGCAGGCGCGAAACCUCCGCAAUGCGGGCAACCGCGACGGGGGGACCCCCAGUGCCGUGGCAUCGCCACGGCUUUUCCGGAGUGUAAAGAGCUCCGGGAAUAAGGGCUGGGCAAGGCCGGUGGCAGCCGCCGCGGUAAUACCGGCGGCCCGAGUGGUGGCCGCUAUUAUUGGGCCUAAAGCGUCC